rnacentral:lncRNA from 1 species
CCCUAAAAACCCUAGAGGAACAAAAAAGAAAGAGGCGGGCGCAGCAACAUCUCUCUAACAGGAGGGAGCUCACCUCUAAAUCAAAAGAAGCUUCAGCCAUUACUCAUUUUUGUCCCCAUCUUCUUCCUUAUUGACUCACUAAUCAUCACCAAUUCAAAAGCCAGCUGAAAACUAUCCUAAAACCAGCAAAACACCAUGAAAAGAAUACUACCAAAAGCUCCUCUAAAACCGCCACAAAUUUGCCGUGAAACAGCCCAGUGACGCCUCAAAACAGCCCUCCUAACUCCAUUAAAACUCAGUCCAAAGUUCAGCGAAAACCUAACAAAAAAAAAAGAGAACCAAAACCAGCUAUGAAAUAGCUCGAAAACAGUUUCAAAAUCAGUCCAAAAUCAGCUCUGAAACACUCGCUAAAGUGAGGAGAUGUUCGAGUUCGCCGAUUUGAGAUUCCGGCGAUGUCGCCUUUAGAAGUUUCUGUCUUGGUUCAGAUGUCUAGCAUAAGUAUUAAGUUAAAUCUCUCCAUUGUACUCGGAUUUGAUAGCUCCCAUUGUAAAUGAAAUUACGGCUGAUUGAGGUCCGUUCUUACUUCUUUCGAUUUAUAUUUUGGCCGAUUUUUAUGCUCGCUCAUGAAUUUAUGUUUAUGUGCCAUUCCUUGUGAUAUUGAUUGAAGAAUUUUUAUUAGUCGUGCCAUCGAUUUUGAUGUUUUCUUGCUGAUAAGUUUUUUUUUGAUUUAGAAAACUAAAAUGGUUGGUUUAAGCUGUAUAUUUGUUAUCUCUUUUGCCUUAUAGUUUACUGUGAGAAUACUAGUCCAUAAAUCUGAUGGAUAUAUUUGAUCAUGGGGAUUUUCGCUAUUAACUUGACAUAUUGGAAUGUUGAGAGUAGUUUAGACAUUAUAAUGAAGAAUAGCAUGAAAGUAGCCAUAUUAGUAAUCUGUUUAACUAAAAUAUGUUCUCUGUUUCAUUGUGUGACUAUCAAGUGCUUAGUUAUGCCUACACACUUAGAGUGUAUGGCACAAGUUUAAAUAUAUAUCGAUAGUAUGAGUCUCUCUAAUCAAUUCACGAGGUAUUGGUUAUACAUGGAUGCCAUUCAUUAAAUAACUUCAUAUUUGUACCUCUUGUAAAUUCUAUAGCUUUGAGUUUUCACAAGUGACCUCAAAUAAAUAAUCCUUGAACUAUCGUAGUUUGCUUUAGGCCUGAUUUACAUUAGUAUUGCGAUUAUGUAUACGUUCGCGUAACAUAAUUGUAAUUUUAACUCUAAAAAAGACUCGAGGGAUGCGUUCGCGCAACUUCAAUCAAAUUUUCUUAAAUAAAUUAACAAAGCGUUAUUAAUUGUGGACACGUUCGCGUGACAUGAUUUUUGACGCGCUAAAGCAAAAGAGUAUACGUACGCGUAACUCAAUUCUUUAAUUACGAAUAAUCAGGCAAUUAAAAGCAGUAAAAAGGUAAAUGCACAUAGGUCCUAAAAAUGAGUAGUUAAAUAAUUUAAGCCAAGUAUAAAUUGCUAAGCGACCAUGCUAGAACCACGGAACCCGAGAAUGCCUAACACUUUCUCCCGGGUUAACAUAAUUCCUUAUCUAGAAUUUCUGAUUCGCGGACUUCAAAAGGAAAGUCGAAAUUUCCUCGAUUUUAGAUUAAAAAUAAACCGGUGACUUGGGACACCAUAACAAAUAUUCCAAUUGGCGACUUUGAUAAAAUAAAUAAUCCCAUUUCGAAUAAUGUCACUUAAAUUGGAAAAACUCCCUUGUACUAUCUUCGGGUGGCGUAAAAAGGAGGUGUGACACUCAGUACAUGGGGUCGGUUGUACUGAUACUACACUCUGUACUCUUUUUGUGUAGAUUUCGGUACUGGACCCGGUGAGUAGUUGAGGUAGAUGCCUUCAGUCCAGGGAGACCAAGGUAGAUCUGGCGUCUGCAGAGCCUAAAGUCCCGUUCCCUAUUUUUAGUUUUUUUGCUGUCUCUUUUCUUUCUAAGAACAGCUGUACUUUUCUUUCAGACUUGUGUUUGUAGUAAAAAUCUUAGACAUUCAUGAUAUUGUGACACCAGAUUCAUGGGUA